AGAUGCCCUGCGGGUGGGCAUGGGCAGUGGCUCCAUCUGCAUCACCCAGGAAGUGUUGGCCUGCGGGCGGCCCCAAGCAACAGCAGUGUACAAGGUGUCAGAAUAUGCACGGCGCUUCGGUGUUCCUGUUAUUGCUGAUGGAGGAAUCCAAAAUGUGGGCCAUAUUGCCAAAGCCUUGGCCCUUGGGGCCUCCACAGUCAUGAUGGGCUCCCUCCUGGCUGCUACCACUGAGGCCCCUGGCGAGUACUUCUUCUCUGAUGGGAUCCGGCUAAAGAAAUACCGUGGUAUGGGUUCUCUUGAUGCCAUGGACGAGCACCUCAGCAGCCAGAACCGAUAUUUCAGUGAAGCUGAUAAAAUCAAAGUGGCCCAGGGGGGUCUCUGGGGCUGUGCAGGACAAAGGGUCCAUCCACAAAUUUGUGCCAUACCUGAUCGCUGGCAUCCUAAAGCUCCAAAAUAUAUUCUACGGAAUUUAAUUAAUUAA